GACGAACGCUGGCGGCGUGCCUAAUACAUGCAAGUAGAACGCUGAAGAGAGGAGCUUGCUCUUCUUGGAUGAGUUGCGAACGGGUGAGUAACGCGUAGGUAACCUGCCUUGUAGCGGGGGAUAACUAUUGGAAACGCUAGCUAAUACCGCAUAACAAUGGAUGACUCAUGUCAUUUAUUCGAAAGGGGCAAAUGCUCCACUACAAGAUGGACCUGGGUUGUAUUAGCUAGUAGGUGAGGUAACGGCUCACCUAGGCGACGAUACAUAGCCGACCUGAGAGGGUGAUCGGCCACACUGGGACUGAGACACGGCCCAGACUCCUACGGGAGGCAGCAGUAGGGAAUCUUCGGCAAUGGGGGCAACCCUGACCGAGCAACGCCGCGUGAGUGAAGAAGGUUUUCGGAUCGUAAAGCUCUGUUGUAAGUCAAGAACGAGUGUGAGAGUGGAAAGUUCACACUGUGACGGUAGCUUACCAGAAAGGGACGGCUAACUACGUGCCAGCAGCCGCAGUAA
rnacentral:rRNA from 1 species